rnacentral:rRNA from 1 species
AUGAACGGCCAGAGCGACCACGACGACAUGGCCAUGCGGAAGCCGCUGCUGGCGAACACGGGGAGCUGGUGGUACGCCACACGCAAGUCCCACGUCUCCGCUCUGCUCUGCACGCUCGUCGUCGCAGUCGGCCCCGUCCAGUUCGGCUUCACGGGUGGCUUCUCCUGGCCCACGCAGUACGCCAUCACCGGCGACCUCAGCCUCUCCAUCUCCGAGUUCUCGGUGUUCGGCUCGCUCUCCAACAUCGGCGCCAUGGUUGGGGCCUUGGCCAGCGGGAAUAUGGUGGAGCACGUCGGCCACAAAGGGGGCGGAGACGGCGGAGGGCAGGAGAGCGGCGGGAGCGACCACGACGACGACAUGCGGAAGCCGCUGCUGGUGAGCACGGGGAGCUGGUGGUACGCGAUACGCAAGUCCCACGUCUCCGCCUUGCUCUGCACGCUCGCCGUGGCGCUCGGCCCCAUCCAGUUCGGCUUCACCGGCGGCUUCUCCUCGCCGACCCAGGACGCCAUCACCCGCGACCUCACCCUCUCCAUCUCCGAGGUCAUCAUCAUCCUUAAUCCCAUCGCCCGUCUUUGUUUACUCUUGUCGCCGCCUUCGCUGCCUUGGUGA